GACGUAGGGCGCGAGCGUUGUCCGGAUUUAUUGGGCGUAAAGAGCUCGUAGGCGGCUUGUCGCGUCGUUCGUGAAAACUCACAGCUCAACUGUGAGCUUGCGGUCGAUACGGGCAGGCUGGAGUUCGGUAGGGGAGACUGGAAUUCCCGGUGUAGCGGUGAAAUGCGCAGAUAUCAGGAGGAACACCGGUGGCGAAGGCGGGUCUCUGGGCCGAUACUGACGCUGAGGAGCGAAAGCGUGGGGAGCGAACAGG
rnacentral:rRNA from 1 species